CGCCUCUAGCAAGUUUUUGUUGCUCUCUCGUGCAUCUGUUGCAUUGCAUUGUUUGUAAACGUGAAUUGUACGGUAAUUGAAUUUAAAACUGUUUCGGCCGUUUUCCCAAACCGCUUGGUUGCAUGCGUGUGAAAAUGACACAUGAUUUGAUUUAAACUUGUUAUCAGGAGCAAGGAUUGUCUUGGCAAUCUGCUGGAUGAACACCGAGGCUGAGCUUCGUUGCAUCAAGACAACCGAGAAAUAUUGAGUGCUGUUCUCCAUCUUAAUGUAUUUGAAUGAUAAUUCAGCCUGUUAGUGAAACAUGGUAGCCAGGUAGUCUUAAGGAUUCCCACAAGGUGGUGGAGCCAUCUGAGAUUUUGGGGUGGGCUCAACGAAAACUAAACAAUCAGUCGGCCAUGAUAGUUUUACGUCACCAGUAAAUAAGCUGAGGUUUAUUGCCCAGGACUUAAACACACACACACACACACACAAGGAUUCAGAGACACUCACUUGUAGGAGAAAAUAUCCAAUGGUGAUUGUGGUAGUAUCCAUACUGUCCCUCUUGUAAUAAAAAAAAAAUGUUUUGAUUCCGGCUCUCUCCAACAAACUGUAUAUCUACGUUGUCUUAUUGGUUUAACAUUGUCGCGACUGCUUCACACACCAUCCCGGUGUUUAAUGCCGGAAUGGAGUCCCACAUUUUUUUUAUUAUCAUUAUAUUUCGCCAGCAACAAACAAGUGGGAAAAAGACGUUGAUCAGCUGUGCUCACACAAACCAUAAAGAGUCGUUAAAUUAAAAGAAAAAAACAAAUUAGAAAGAAGACGAACAUUCGAUUUUUUAAUAUGUGUGGUCCUUUUUACAAAGAGUAAUAAACAGCCAAUAAAGGAGGCGGUGCAACGGAUCAUUAACGUGACGACGAACUCCUUUACACGAUUGAAUGAUUCGAUCAUAUAGGAAAAAAUACGCAGCAAAAAGGGAAUGUCUGGCGGCAGUAAAAAAUGAAUCAAAUAAUAAAAAAACACACACACACACAAGGGAACCCUCUGCGCACCGUGAAUGAAUAUGCGUGUGAAACCAAAAUUUUAGACUUUUUUUUGUUGAGCUACGGCUGCGGUUACUGUUUUUCUUCAUUCUUAACCCGAUUCAUCGCCCAACACUUCAUUAAAAAACAGAGUCUGCAGUGGUGAUCUUUUUAUUGCCGUUUUCGAAAGAUUCUACGCAAAAAACAAAAAUUUCUUUUUUUUUUUGUUUUCGAAAAACGUUAUUACAUCAUAAGGUGGCCAUAAAACUUCAUUGCUUAAGUGCCAAUUAUUCUUUUGUGAGAAUCAAAAAGCCAUUGAAGAGAAAAACGGUCAACUAACAUUGUCAUCGUUCCGGUCGUCGGCCUUUUUCUUUUUUUCUUUUCUUUCUUCAUAAAUAAUGGAUCCAUACGAUAUUAAAACCUCUUGUGGGUAAGAAACUCUUUUUAAGAGAAAAUCUCGAUCUUUUGCUUAUUAAAAACCGCCGUGAAAAAAAAAAUAAAUGUUUUCUAUUUGAGAGAGAGUCAAAAGCGGGCACGUUGUACAUAGUUGGAGAAAAUGAAUGGUAACAGCUGUUACUCGCCUUUUAAGCGAUCAUUGUUAAACGUGUAUAGCUCAAGGAGUUUGUUAUCCAUUCAAGAUUUUUGUCCCCCUGACCCUCCGCCCCGUCUUUGCACGUCUGGCAAACACCUGGAUCUUCAGGAUGUGAUGAAUGGACACGAGCCAAUUUCGAAAAAUGACCGUUGCCACGCGCCAUAUGACACACGGGGAGCUUUAUCCGAGGGUAUGACACUAUGCCCAUUUCCUUUUGUUGUUUUUCGUUCGUAUGGGAAGGACUUCGACGCCAUUUUAGGUCCGAAAAUAUCCUGCUGAUUUCCUCUCGAUAAUCAAUUAAAAAUCGUUUUCUACCAUUUCUGUAUUGGUAAUUUUUUUUUUGUUUCUCUCUUCGAUAAUCAAUAAUUAAACGGAAGGAAAUAAAAAAAAAAAGAAAUCCCGAAAUUGGGGGGUAAGAAUUUUCUUUUUUUUUAAAUUCUUUCUGGUUGGUGUGAAAGCAUCCGCGAGCUUCCCACGCAUCUCUGACAUUAUAACAUUUUUCUCGGUCGUUGUUCAUCGGCGUCGUCUCUUUUGCGGUCGGCCAUUAAUAAACAAAAAAAAAAAAACAUACAGAAGCGAAAACACCCCCCUUAAAAAAAAAAGAAAAGAGAGAAGGAGGAGGUUUGAUUAUUAAAUAUCCUCGUAUCGUAGCCAUUUCCUAUAUUUAGUACGAAGCGCAUGCAGAUGACGCGCCUCGUUUUCAAAACUGUUUCUUUUUUUUUCUUCUUCUUCUUCGUUUGCUGUGCCGAUCGUAUACGUUGGAGGGGCCACUGUCGUGAGAAAGUCGUAAGGGUGAUUAAGAAAACAUCGAUCCUGCGUUGUCAUUGCGGUCAAUCGGUUGCAAUAUGCCGAAUCUAUCGUUAAAUACAUUUCUUGUAAUUUCGGCCCGAAACGGAGGAAGACGAACGGCAACAGCGCAUGUGCGUGAAUUUGCGUUGUUAUUCGAUUUUUACACGAAAGAAAGAAGAAGGUCUCGCAGUUGUUGUAAGGUUGUUACAAGAGGUAGCGAACGGCUUGUGUUUUGUUGCAUGUGGAGGAUAAGAGGAUGGAUGGAAAAGACCGGAAGUGUGUCGUGUGUGAGAGGCUCAUCAUGCCGACGUUCCCACACGACGGAACGUCGCGCGCACAGCCCACCUUUCCAAUGCCACACACACACAAUUGCUCCCGUAUUUUCUUCGUCUUCUCGUUCAUCGAGUUUUCUUUUUCUUAUUUUUCUGUAGACUUGGUUUAAAAUAUUUAAAUGGAAUGAAUGCGGCGUUAAGAUCGUCGUUUGUUUUUCUUUUGAAUUCUCUUAUUUUCAAACGAUUUCGACGACUAGGGCGAUACGAAUGCGCGUAACGGACCGAUUUGCAUUUGUUUUUCUGUUUGAGAAAAUCGUUCGUCCAAUUUUGUUUAAAAAUGUAUUUCAAAUGUCUUUUUUCGUAUGACCCUUUUUGAGAGCGAAAUUGUGUUCACACCGACAGCCUUUCGAGGGUCGUUGCCUUUAUUAACGCAACAACCUUGUUGGUGUUAACCGUCGUAGAAAAC